rnacentral:rRNA from 1 species
GCCAGACUCCUACGGGAGGCAGCAGUGAGGAAUAUUGGUCAAUGGACGCAAGUCUGAACCAGCCAUGCCGCGUGCAGGAAGACGGCUCUAUGAGUUGUAAACUGCUUUUGUACGAGGGUAAACGCAGAUACGUGUAUCUGUCUGAAAGUAUCGUACGAAAAAGCAUCGGCUAACUCCGUGCCAGCAGCCGCGGUAAUACGGAGGAUGCGAGCGUUAUCCGGAUUUAUUGGGUUUAAAGGGUGCGUAGGCGGGCUGUUAAGUCAGCGGUAAACGCCGGGGGCUCAACCCCGGCGAGCCGUUGAAACUGGCUGUCUUGAGAUGUCGAGAGGUAUGCGGAAUGCGCAGUGUAGCGGUGAAAUGCUUAGAUAUUGCGCAGAACUCCGAUUGCGAAGGCAGCAUACCGGCGGCGAUCUGACGCUGAGGCACGAAAGCGUGGGUAUCGAACAGGAUUAGAUACCCCGGUA